AAUAAAUUUUGAAAAAGUUUUAGUCGAUGAAAAACUUACAAAUGCUUUCCUUUUAAUUAAAAAUAUUUUAUGAGAAUUACUAUUGAAUAGUUUUUGGCAUUCAAGUAAUCAAUUAAAUAAUUUUCAUAUUGAAGAGAAAGGAGUUGCUCUUUUUAUCGCUUAAUGUCUACCAAACCAAGAUUUAAAAUUAAAAAAGAUAUCGGUAUCACUUUCGCGAUUUUUCCUUUGUAUAGAAAAGUGUAUUUCAACAACGGUGCAGAUUUUGAAGGAAAAAGAAAUGAGUAGACAUAGGCACAAGCAAAUGCUGAAAUAAGUGGAGGAAAGUAGGCGCAGGGAGGAAGGAACCCGAAUGCUUUAAAAAACUCUUAUAAAGGAGAUGCUUUUAGUCCUCUUCCUGGUUUUGGACCAAGACCGGGCCGCUACAAUAUUGUAAUUUGGCUGGCUCCGCAAAGCCAACCAAAGAAAACAAAGAAAUCAGAGGAAAAAUCAACUUUGUGCAAAUAAAUGCAAAAUAAUAUUACGAAAAGUUGACCGUAAAAAGAUGCCGGCCCAGUCGAGCAAGAGGGGCUGAAAAGGAGUCGUUGCACUCGGCGUGCUUGCUCCCCUGCCGCUACGCUGGUGCCUUGAACUGAACACACUUAAUUUCGAAAUAGAAAUUGGCCCUCUUGGCGAGGUCCAAAAGUUUUUUCCGCUUGCCUUUCGCCCAUUACUUGGCCAAUGAUUUCAAUUCCAUUUCGCCCAUUGGCUGUAGCUGGCAGUCGCAACCUGAACGCUUUUUCCUAAGAACAUUGUUUAAUGUGCAGCUCGAAGAAAAUGUUAAUUUUGAUCCCGGACUUGUGGUCUUUAGUUGGCGACUCGCGGGAAAAUACGCUAGGGGUACCAUUUGAUU